UGAGGAACAUGACCUUCGGCGGGGGAUAGCCGGCCCAACGGCCGGGUAAUACCGCGUACGACCACUUUGGGACAUCCCUCGGUGGUGAAAGCAGCAAUGCGCCGAUGGAGUGCCUCGCGGCCUAUCAGCUAGUUGGUGAGGUAACGGCUCACCAAGGCGACGACGGGUAGCUGGCCUGAGAGGAUGGCCAGCCACAUUGGGACUGAGACACGGCCCAGACCUCCGUACGGGAGCAG
rnacentral:rRNA from 1 species